CCCUUAGAUGUUCUGGGCCGCACGCGUGCUACACUGAGUGGAUCAGCGGGUCAGGUUGCGCGAAAGCGUUUCCUAAUCUUUAAAUCCGCUCGUGACGGGGAUUGACGGUUGCAAUUUUCUGUCAUGAACGAGGAAUACCUUGUAAGCGCGGGUCAUCAUCCCGCGCUGAAUACGUCCCUGCCCUUUGUACACACCGCCCGUCGCUCCUACCGAUUGAGUGGUCCGGUGAAUUAUUCGGACUGCAACGUGUCCAGUUCUGGAUGCAGUUGCGGAAAGUUUUGUGAACCUUACCACUUAGAGGAAGGAGAAGUCGUAACA
rnacentral:rRNA from 1 species